AAUCAACGCGGCGGCGCGCUAACACAUGCAAGUCGAACGAGAAAGUGGAGCAAUCCAUGAGUAAAGUGGCGUACGGGUGAGUAACACGUGGAUCAUCUGCCCUAGAGUGGGGAAUAACGAGGGGAAACCUUCGCUAAUACCGCAUAAUCCCGAGAGGGGAAAGCAGCAAUGCGCUCAAGGAGGAGUCCGCGGUCGAUUAGCUAGUUGGUAGGGUAAUGGCCUACCAAGGCUACGAUCGAUAGCCGGCCUGAGAGGGCACACGGCCACACUGGCACUGAAACACGGGCCAGACUCCUACGGGAGGCAGCAGUGGGGAAUCUUGCACAAUGGAGGCAACUCUGAUGCAGCGACGCCGCGUGAGCGAUGAAGCCCUUCGGGGUGUAAAGCUCUUUCGUCAGGGAAGAUAAUGACGGUACCUGGAGAAGCAGCUGCGGCUAACUACGUGCCAGCAGCCGCGGUAAUACGUAGGCAGCAAGCGUUGUUCGGAGUUACUGGGCGUAAAGGGUGUGUAGGCGGCCUUCUAAGUUUGGUGUGAAAUCUCCCGGCUCAACCGGGAGGGUGCGCCGAAGACUGGGGGGCUAGAGUAUGGGAUGGGAGAGUGGAAUUCCUGGUGUAGCGGUGAAAUGCGUAGAUAUCAGGAGGAACACCUGCGGUGUAGACGGCUCUCUGGACCAUAACUGACGCUGAGACACGAAAGCGUGGGUAGCAAACAGGAUUAGAUACCCUGGUAGUCCACGCCCUAAACGAUGCAUAUUUGGUGUGGGCCAUUCAUUUGGUCCGUGCCGGAGCUAACGCGUUAAAUAUGCCGCCUGGGGAGUACAGUCGCAAGGCUG
rnacentral:rRNA from 1 species